rnacentral:rRNA from 1 species
CUCAGGAUGAACGCUGGCGGCGUAGCUUAACACAUGCAAGUCGAACGGAGUUUUAACGGAAGUUUCGGAUGGAAGUUAAAACUAGUGGCGGACGGGUGAGUAACGCGUGGGUAACCUGCCUCAUACAGGGGGAUAACAGUUAGAAAUGACUGCUAACACCGCAUAAUGUAGCGAAACCGCAUGAUUUUGCUAUCAAAUAUUUAUAGGUAUGAGAUGGGCCCGCGUCUGAUUAGCUAGUUGGUGGGGUAAAAGCCUACCAAGGCGACGAUCAGUAGCCGGCUUGAGAGAGUGACCGGCCACAUUGGGACUGAGACACGGCCCAAACUCCUACGGGAGGCAGCAGUGGGGAAUAUUGGACAAUGGGGGAAACCCUGAUCCAGCGACGCCCGCGUGAGUGAAGAAGUAUUUCGGUAUGUAAAGCUCUAUCAGCAGGGAAGAUAAUGACAGUACCUGACUAAGAAGCCCCGGCUAACUACGUGCCAGCAGCUGC